GACGAACGCUGGCGGCGUGCUUAACACAUGCAAGUCGAACGGUGAAGCGCUUGCCUUUUUGGUGGGUGUGGAUGAGUGGCGAACGGGUGAGUAACACGUGAGUAACCUGCCCUCUUCUUCUGGAUUACCUCAUUAAAGUGGGGCUAAUACGGGGUAUUCCGGGUCUGUCGCAUGGCGGGUUUGGGAAAGAUUGCGCCUUUGGGUGUUUUCGGUGGGGGAUGGGCUCGCGCCUUUUCGCUUGGUGGUGUGGUGGUGGCCUCCCCAGGCGGUGGCGGGUCGCCGGCCUGAGAGGGUGGACGGCCACACUGGGACUGGGACACGGCCCAGACUCCUGCGGGAGGCAGCAGUGGGGAAUAGUGCACAAUGGGCGCAAGCCUGAUGCAGCGACGCCGCGUGAGGGAUGGAGGCCUUCGGGUUGUGAACCUCUUUCGCCAGUGAAGCAGGCCUGCUCCUGUGUGGGUGGGUUGACGGUAGCUGGAUAAGAAGCGCCGGCUAACUACGUG
rnacentral:rRNA from 1 species